rnacentral:rRNA from 1 species
GGUAAAAAAGCUCGUAGUUGGAUUUCUGUUGAGGACGACCGGUCCAUACCACGUAUGCGCAUCUGGCUCGGCCUCGGCAUCCUCUCGAUAGACGUUUCUGCGCUUGAUUGCGUGGAGCGGAUCUCGGGACUUUUACUUUGAGGAAAUUAGAGUGUUCACGGCAGGCUAUCGCCAGAAUACAUUAGCAUGGAAUAAUACUAUAGGAUCUCGGUUCUAUUUUGUUGGUUUCUAGAAUUGAGAUAAUGAUUAAUAGGGACAAUUGGGGGCAUUCGUAUCAACACGUCAGAGGUGGAAUUCUUGGAUUGUGUUGCGACGAACUACUGCGAAAGCAUUUGCCAAGGAUGUUUUCAUUGAUCAAGAACGAAAGUAAGGGGAUCGAAGACGAUUAGAUACCGUCGUAGUCUUUACCAUAAACUAUGCCAACUAGAGAUCCGGCAUCGUUCACUUACGACUUGCUGGGCACCUUAUGGAUACUAAAGUCUUUGGGUUCCGGGGGGAGUAUGGUCGCAAGGCUGAAACUUAAAGGAAUUGACGGAAGGGCACCACCAGGAGUGGAGCCUGCGGCUUAAUUUGACUCAACACGGGGAAACUCACCAGGUCCAGACAUAAUAAGGAUUGACAGAUUGAUAGCUCUUUCUUGAUUUUAUGGGUGGUGGUGCAUGGCCGUUCUUAGUUCGUGGAGUGAUUUGUCUGCUUAAUUGCGUUAACGAAC